UACGUAGGGGGCUAGCGUUGUCCGGAUUUAUUGGGCGUAAAGAGCUCGUAGGCGGCUUGUCACGUCGGGUGUGAAAGCCCGGGGCUUAACCCCCGGGUCUGCAUUCGAUACGGGCUAGCUAGAGUGUGGUAGGGGAGAUCGGAAUUCCUGGUGUAGCGGUGAAAUGCGCAGAUAUCAGGAGGAACACCGGUGGCGAAGGCGGAUCUCUGGGCCAUUACUGACGCUGAGAAGCGAAAGCAUGGGGAGCGAACAGG
rnacentral:rRNA from 1 species